ACACACACACACACACACACACACUCUCCAAUAACCAGUGGAGCACAAACACCAUCCAUCCACAACUCUCUGGCCCGCAGGAUGAAAGACCAUCUGUUACCGUGGUGAUCAAUACACAUUGUCUGAGUGUGUGUCUGUGUGUGUGUGUGU